rnacentral:rRNA from 1 species
UACAGAGGUCUCAAGCGUUUGUUCGGAUUCAUUGGGCGUAAAGGGCGCGUAGGCGGCGGGGUAAGUCGGGUGUGAAAUCUCAGGGCUCAACCCUGAAACUGCACUCGAUACUGCUCUGCUUGAGGACUGGAGAGGAGACUGGAAUUCACGGUGUAGCAGUGAAAUGCGUAGAUAUCGUGAGGAAGACCAGUGGCGAAGGCGGGU